rnacentral:lncRNA from 1 species
GCACAAUGCUGUAACACUAGCGCACAUGACUGUAUAGAACAAAACUGUGUGUUUGAAUGUUUAAAUCAGCCUUCGGCCGGCAUCUUAAUCGAGUUCCGUAUUUCGAAUGGGCUUAUAAUGGCUGGCGUAUUCCACAACGGAACCAGAAUGAACACGUUAACUCUGAUGUACAUGUGUUAGGACGACCCGCCCAUCAUAUUGACGUGCGUCGAUUGAAAGCAGACCCGUUAUUGGUAGACGGGCUGACAACUCGCGAAGCUACAUACGUUCGUAUAAGCCAAUGGAGUGAAAGGGUAUCGUGUGAAUAUGGCGGAUGUGACGCAUUCGUUGUCGUUGAAAAUAACCUAAGAAGCAGGAAAGGAUACACAUCAAAAGGCAUGAUGAUUCGAACCGCACGAUAGCGGAGCGGGCACUAAUCGAGAGCUUUACGAUUGUUAACUGGCGAGUUGUGAAGUGUGGUGGUAAAAUCGAACCAUCAUGUUGAUUUACUGCCUCAUGGACUCGAUCAACAUGUCGCUCAUUACCCGUGCACUCGAUGAGCAUGCCGCUAAAUGUGUCGGCUAUCGGAAUUUCCAAGAACUUCGAUUGUUUUUCUGAAGGAAUAGAAGAAAUGAAAGAAUACAGUGCUAGCAAUUUUUCCGAUAUUUACCAAUUGGCCGUCACUAGCAAAUGUAAGCUACUGGACGUCACGAUGGAUCGCAAUCAGUUUGUUUAGCGUCAUUAUGUAACACAAAUCAGUUCGACGGUUUCAUACCGACAGAUUGUGUAUACACUUGAUGCUUUGUGUAUAAAGUCAUCUUUCUUUUCGCGCUUUGCGAUGCCGCUCGUUUGUUAUAUAUCUGUGUAGGACGGCAGGUAUUAUAUCUGCGUACGCGAAUGCGGGCCAACUUCAGAAUUCAUUGACAUAACGUCAGUCACAUUAGUUUCAUUCAGUCACAUUAAUAACAUUUUAAAUAAUCUGUGCACUUUCGGUUUACGCGUUCCUUUCUAAAAGUGUUGCUUUUAUAUUGAAGGUCCAGCGACGUAAUACGUUUGCGUAGUUGGUCUAAACAGCGAAAACGAUUCUAUAUUCCUUUGAGUUGUAUUUCGGACUCAUCUGAACAAAUCUAAAUUGUUCUCUGCCGUUCAGUUUGUUUGAAUAAAACUUACAAUGUUCAAUAGCAAAUCAGGCUGUACAACUUUUUCCUAGUAAAGGACUGUUGAUGAUGACAACAAACGACGCUUGUCCAUCAUUGCGUUCACCUUUCAAAAACGUGUAAUUUUUAUAGUAAAUUAUAUAGUAUGUAUAAUAAUAAUAAUAAUAAUAAUAAUAAUAAUAAUAAUAAAACAAAUGUGAAUCCAAAGGCGAAUAAUUCACAUUUUUGUGAACACUAAUUUGUCUAAGUAGGUGAAGCUGUUAGAUACAGAUAUUCAAGUAGUUCAGCUAGAAUCUAUGGAAACGUAUCAGGAUAGCGCGGAGUAGGUUCUAUCAAAGCGACAUAAGGAGUGCC